AUGAUAGCGGAUUUGAAGUAGAUGUGGUGAUGUUGUGUAGUAAUGCAAUGUUGUGAAUGAGCUGGGUAUAAGUAUGAACUGUGCGGCUGAAAUGGGAGUGAUGAUGAAGGUGCAGAGCUGAGAUGAGAUGAACUGAGGCAAUUGAUAUUUGUAGGAAUGAUUGUAGAGUUGUUCUUAUUAAAUGGAACAGCCAGUUGCAAGAAAUAACAAAGUUAUAAUGAGACUCAGGGUUAAGGAUGGACAAGUGAUAUGAGAUGUCUGAAGUGUAAAUGGAACUGAGGUUGCGGUGUAUGGAUGAGAGGAUAGUGCCAAUGAGAUAAUGAAUGAAGCUGCAGUUGGUGUUCGUAAAGUGAAGAAGUUUAGAAUUGGAUUUGAACUGAGGUUGUGGUGUAUGGAUGAGAGGAUAGUGCCAAUGAGAUAAUGAAUGAAGCUGCAGUUGGUGUUCGUAAAGUGAAGAAGUUUAGAAUUGGAUUUGAACUGAGGUUAUAAAAGGUUUUGUUAUGGUUGGUUGGGCAGAGAUGGAAUGUAUACAAGAUCAUAGUCUAGGUUUGUUUGAUUCGACUGAAAUUGCAGAUGGAAUUGGAAUUAAUCUGGUUGUGUAGAUAGAGUUGAAUGGUGUUGUUGAUCUGAGCCGUUGAGUUGUUCUGAGAUGCAGUUAUAGUGGAAUUGUUUGUGUGUUUGAGAGUUUUAGAGAUGCAAUGGCAGUUUAGCUUUGCUGGUUCGUUUGAGCUGAGAAGAUAGUUACUACAGCAACUGCAAUUGCAGAUAAUUAAGUUGUAAUCGUGUUUGUAAUUUGGUUAUGAAAGUUUCUUAAGAAUUUAUAAGUUGAAGUUGUAUUUGAGUCAUAAUUUGUGCUAGAA